AUUGAACGCUGGCGGCAGGCCUAACACAUGCAAGUCGAGCGAGCGGCGGACGGGUGAGUAAUGUCUGGGAAACUGCCUGAUGGCGGGGGAUAACCACUGGAAACGGUAGCUAAUACCGCAUACUAGCAGAUGUGCCCAGAUGGGAUUAGCUGGUAGGUGGGGUAACGGCUCACCUAGGCGACGAUCCCUAGCCGGUCUGAGAGGAUGACCGGCCACACUGGAACUGAGACACGGUCCAGACUCCUACGGGAGGCAGCAGUGGGGAAUAUUGCACAAUGGGCGCAAGCCUGAUGCAGCCAUGCCGCGUGUGUGAAGAAGGCCUUCGGGUUGUAAAGCACUUUCAGCGGGGAGGCGUUACCCGCAGAAGAAGCACCGGCUAACUCCGUGCCAGCAGCCGCGGUAAUUC
rnacentral:rRNA from 1 species